UACGAAGGGGGCUAGCGUUGCUCGGAAUUACUGGGCGUAAAGCGCGCGUAGGCGGCUUGUUAAGUCAGGGGUGAAAUCCUGGAGCUCAACUCCAGAACUGCCUUUGAUACUGGCGAGCUUGAGUUCGGGAGAGGUGAGUGGAACUGCGAGUGUAGAGGUGAAAUUCGUAGAUAUUCGCAAGAACACCAGUGGCGAAGGCGGCUCACUGGCCCGAUACUGACGCUGAGGUGCGAAAGCGUGGGGAGCAAACAGG
rnacentral:rRNA from 1 species